CGGCGAGACCUUUGUGCCUGGAGUGACUGCGAGCUGCUGACUGCUUACUGCUCCCCGGUGUUGUCCCCACAAUUUACACUGCACCUCGGUCCAGGAGAACAAGUGCAUCUGACGGUCACUGUGGAUUUCCCUGUUCACCAAGGAGGGAGCGUACAGACUGGACUGCCUAUUCAGCAGGGAGUGCUCUGCCGGAGGUCACUGUAUUACCGUAUUCCGACAGCCAUGCGUCCUCGCCUUCUGGUCACUGACAGUGGCCCCUAGAAUUACAACGGAGCCGACACACUCCCGUCCCCUCGUGUAGCCACAGUGGCUUACGUGUGCAGUUUAUGAAGACCACAGUGGGAUGCGGGAGUGCCCAGUCACCACUCAUCGACCCACAGA